AUGAGAGCCCUCCAUUUUGCACAAGACAACAACGUCGCCGGAGUUCCACCAUCGAAACAGCCACGAUCCGACCGUCUCCCCUUCAAAUCUGGAGACAACCGUAGCCGCUUCUGUGCAAUCAUCAUGAUUCCGCUCAGAUUCAUAAAGUCAUUCUUCGUUAGCAACCUCUGGUUUUCUUUCCAUUAUGCUUUUUAUUCAUGUAGUUUGAUUAAGACAUGUUUUAUUAAAUGA